GACGAACGCUGGCGGCGUGCCUAAUACAUGCAAGUCGAGCGAAUCAGUGGGAGCUUGCUCCCUGAGAUUAGCGGCGGACGGGUGAGUAACACGUGGGUAACCUGCCUGUAAGACUGGGAUAACUUCGGGAAACCGGAGCUAAUACCGGAUACGUUCUUUUCUCGCAUGAGGAGAGAUGGAUAGAUGGUUCUGCUAUCACUUACAGAUGGACCCGCGGCGCAUUAGCUAGUUGGUGAGGUAACGGCUCACCAAGGCGACGAUGCGUAGCCGACCGGGGGGGGUGAUCGGCCACACUGGGACUGAGGCACGGCCCAGACUCCUACGGGAGGCAGCAGUAGGGAAUCUUCCGCAAUGGACGAAAGUCUGACGGAGCAACGCCGCGUGAGCGAAGAAGGCCUUCGGGUCGUAAAGCUCUGUUGUUAGGGAAGAACAAGUACGAGAGUAACUGCUCGUACCUUGACGGUACCUAACCAGAAAGCCACGGCUAACUACGUGCCAGCCGCCGCGGUAA
rnacentral:rRNA from 1 species